rnacentral:tRNA from 1 species
GGGUCCAUAGGAUAAAGGUUAAUCUGGCCGCCUCCAGAGCGGCUGAUGGGGGUUCGAUUCCUCCUGGACCCA